UCUGGUUGAUCCUGCCAGUAGUCAUAUGCUUGUCUCAAAGAUUAAGCCAUGCAUGUCUAAGUAUAAAUAGUAUACAGUGAAACUGCGAAUGGCUCGUUAAGACAGUUAUAGUUUAUUUGAUAAUUGACAAUUACAUGGAUAACCGUGGUAAUUUUAGAGCUAAUACAUGCUUAAACGCCCGACUUUAUGGAAGGGUGGUAUUUACUAGACUGAAGCCAAUAUUCCUUGUGUCUAUUGCGGUGAUUCAUAAUAACUGAUCGAAUCUCUUUUUGAGAUAAAUCAUUCAAGUUUCUGCCCUAUCAGCUUUCGAUGGUAGUGUAUUGGACUACCAUGGCAGUAACGGGUAACGAAGAAUUAGGGUUCGAUUUCGAGAGGGAGCAUGAGAAACGGCUACCACAUCUAAGGAAGGCAGCAGGCGCGUAAAUUACCCAAUCCUGACUCAGGGAGGUAGUGACAAGAAAUAGCAAACCGGGAACCUCAUGGUUUCACGGUAUUGCAAUGAGAACAAUUUAAAACCCUUAGCGAGAAUCAAGUGGAGGACAAGUCUGGUGCCAGCACCCGCGGUAAUUCCAGCUCCACUAGCGUAUAUUAAAGUUGUUGCAGUUAAAAAGCUCGUAGUUGAACCUCUGUCUGGGGCUAGUUUUGGCUUUGGUCAGGCUAGUUCUAGGCAUCCGCCUACAAGACUUAGAGGGCAUUCAGUUGUUCACUAGGAGGAGUAGGCAUUUUACUUUGAAAAAAUUAGAGUGUUUAAGGCAGGCAAUCGCCCGCAUAUAUUAGCAUGGAAUAAUAGAAUAGGACACUUUUCCAUUUCGUUGGUUAUUGGAAUCGUGUAAUGAUUAAUAGGGACAGUUGUGGGCAUUUGUAUUUAAUUGUCAGAGGUGAAAUUCUGAUUCAUUAAAGACAAACUAACGCGAAAGCAUUUGCCAAGGAUGUUUUCAUUAAUCAAGAACGAAAGUUAGGGGAUCAAAGACGAUCAGAUACCGUCCUAGUCUUAACUAUAAACUAUUCCGACUCAAUGUUUGACUGGCUUAUAUAACCAGUUGAGCGUUGUAUGAGAAAUCAAAGUCUUUAGGUUCUGGGGGGAGUAUGGUUGCAAAGCUGAAACUUAAAGGAAUUGACGGAAGAGCACAACCAGGAGUGGAUUCUGCGGCUUAAUUUGACUCAACACGGGGAAACUUACCAGGUUAAAACAAUAGUGGGAUUGACA
rnacentral:rRNA from 1 species